rnacentral:tmRNA from 1 species
GACGAUGUGACGACUUGAAAUUCCCCGCUGCCAGCCCCAUAAUGGCGACAUGGUUGUAAUUCCGGCGAUCCGGAGACGUUCUGGACAGGGGUUCGAUUCCCCUCACCUCCACCCAAGGGCACACGCCGAGCCUUGAAGCGACGAUACCCUUGGGUGGGGGUGCACUGGCUUCGACAGGGCGGACGAAGGAAAGCAGGCAACCCGAAAGGCGACGAACGUAAUUCGCGCAAACCCACAAACGCCAACGAUGAGCGUUUCGCACUGGCCGCCUAAGGCCAAUGCCGAGGCCGCUUGAGCCUUGUCACCCAAGAAAAGCCGGCGGGCGCUUUCAGCGCCCGUCGUCA